UACGUAGGUGGCGAGCGUUGUCCGGAGUUACUGGGCGUAAAGCGCACGCAGGCGGUCCGACGCGUUUUGGGGUGACAGCUCUCGGCUUAACCGAGAGAGCGUCUCAAAGACGGUCGGACUUGAGGGCCAGAGAGGGAUAUGGAACUCCGGGUGGAGUGGUGAAAUGCGUAGAGAUCCGGAAGAACACCAAAGGCGAAGGCAGUGUCCUGGCUGGUACCUGACGCUCAGGUGCGAAAGCAUGGGGAGCGAACGGG
rnacentral:rRNA from 1 species